UACAGAGGGUGCGAGCGUUGUCCGGAAUUAUUGGGCGUAAAGAGCUCGUAGGCGGUCUGUCGCGUCGAUCGUGAAAACUUGGGGCUUAACCCUGAGCUUGCGGUCGAUACGGGCAUGACUGGAGUUCGGCAGGGGAGACUGGAAUUCCUGGUGUAGCGGUGAAAUGCGCAGAUAUCAGGAGGAAUACCGAUGGCGAAGGCAGGUCUCUGGGCUGACACUGACGCUCAUGCACGAAAGCGUGGGGAGCAAACAGG
rnacentral:rRNA from 1 species